ensembl:lncRNA
GUCCUGUUCUAACUAGGAGACCUUGGCCUGGGUCACCCAGAGGGCAGGACCUGGGCCACUAUUGCUGACCACGUCCUGUCACUCCUAGGCCUUGAAACAUUCCAGUUUAGAGACCGGAAGCCCAGGAAGAGAAGGACACACACCAGCUCUCCCUGCUGCCGAGCCCUCCCCACCUGUGGACGGAGACAUCCUCUCUGGGUGCUGGGAUAAGCAAAUCCAGGGCCAGCAGGAGGGAGAAGUGGCAUACUCACGCCCAGCGGAAGCUUCUGGAUCCAAUGCCAGAGCCAGCACAGCAGAUCUCUGUCUGUGUCCCACGUGUGGGCCCCUGUUGGCCUGGCCAGCCCUGGCCAGUGACAGUUGCAUGUAGGUGUCUGGUUGGCUGCCAGGCUGAUGCUGAGCCCCGAGGCGGGCAUAUGUGGUGGUACAUGGCCCUAGCUGUGUGUAUUUGCCUUUUGCAAAGGGCUGUGCAUCAUGGCAUCAUCGUGGGUUUCAUGCUUCUCUCUAUCACACGGCCAACUUAAAGUACCGCAAGCUGGCCAGGUGUGGCGGCUCACAUUUUGGGAGGCUGGGAAGGGCAGAUUGCUUGAGCCUCAGGAGUUUGAGACCAGCCUGGACAACGUGGUGAAACCUCGCCUCUACAAAAACAUUUAUAGAUUAGUUGGUCCUGGUGCUGCAUAUCUAUAGUCCCAGCUCCUCGGGAGGCUGUGUGGGAGGGUCAUCUGAGCCCAGGGAAGUGAAGGCUGCAGGGAGCUGUGAUCACGCCACUGCACUCCUGCCCAGGUGACAGAGCCAGACCCUGUCUCAAAAAAAAAAAAAAAAGAAAAAAAAAGAAAAACUCUGAAAGCAAAGGGGAGGGGCCGGCUGCCUGGCCUUGAUGAGGUCAAGAGGUAGCAUUUCUCCACAUGUGGUGGGUUGAAUGGCGGUCCCCGAAAGCUUCUCUAAGUCCUCACCCCCAUACCCAUGAAUGCAACCGUGCAACCGUAUCUAGAAAUAGGAUCUCAGCUGGGCGCAGCGGCUCACACCUGUAAUCCCAGCACUUUGGGAGGCUGAGGCAGGUGGAUCACCUGAGGUCAGGUGUUCAAGACCAAGCCUGGCCAACAUGGUGAGACCCCAUCUCUACUAAAAAUACAAAAAUUAGCCGGGCAUGGUGGCAUGCACCUGUAGUCCCAGCUACUCUAGAGGCUGAGGCAGGAGAAUCCCUUGAACUUGGGAGGUGGAGGCUGCAGUGGGCUGAGAUUGCAACACUGCACUCCAGCCUGGGAGACAGAGUGAGACUCUUGUCUCAAACAACAACAACAACAGCAACAACAACAAAUAGAAAUAGGAUCUCUGCAGAGGUAACCAGGGUGAGGGUCUUGGGAUGAGAUCAUUCUGGAUAUAGGGUGGGCCCUAAAUCCAUUGACAGGGGUCCUUGUAGGAAGAGAAGGAAGGUUGGGCACAGUGGCUCACGCCUGUAAUCCCAGCACUUUGGGAGGCCAAGGCGGGUGGAUUACUUGAGGUCAGGAGUUCAAGACCAGCCUGGCUAACAUGGCAAAACCCCAUCUCUACUAAAAAUACAAAAAUUAGCUGGGUGUGGUGGCACACACCUGUAGUCCCAGCUACUCGGGAGGCUGAGGCAGGAGAAUCGCUUGAACUCGGGAGGCAGAGGUUGCAGUGAGCCAAGGUCUCGUCACUGCACUCCAGCCUGGGCAACAGAGUGAGACUCCGUCUUAAAAAAAAAAAAAAA